CCCGCUUAAUUCAGGUUUACGGCCAAGCCGGUUCUCAGGCGGUGCUGUUGGUUUUCUUCUCACGAAUCUCCCUCCUUCUUCCCGGAAUUUGGAAUCGAGUGAGUUUUCUGACGUAUUUGAGCACAGGACCCAGGGGUACUUGAAGAGAGAACUGGUCCGGGAGGAGCUGGACUGAUCACAGAAAUGAGUCCUGCAGAUGCCCUCGAUGAUGAAAAUACAUUUAAAAUUUUAGUUGCAACAGAUAUUCAUCUGGGAUUUAUGGAAAAAGAUGCCGUCAGAGGAAAUGAUACGUUUGUAACACUUGAAGAAAUUUUAAAACUUGCCCAGGAAAAUGAUGUGGAUUUUAUUUUGUUAGGUGGUGAUCUUUUUCAUGAAAAUAAACCCUCAAGAAAAACAUUACAUACCUGCCUCGAGUUAUUAAGAAAAUAUUGCAUGGGGGAUCGUCCUGUACAGUUUGAAAUUAUCAGCGAUCAGUCAGUCAACUUUGGUUUUAGUAAGUUUCCAUGGGUGAACUAUGAAGAUGGCAAUCUCAACAUUUCGAUUCCAGUGUUUAGUAUUCAUGGCAACCAUGAUGAUCCCACGGGGGCAGACGCACUCUGCACCCUGGAUAUUUUAAGUUGUGCUGGAUUUGUAAAUCAUUUUGGACGUUCAAUGUCUGUGGAGAAGGUAGACAUUAGUCCGGUUUUGCUUCAAAAAGGAAGCACAAAAAUUGCUCUAUAUGGCUUAGGAUCCAUUCCAGAUGAAAGGCUCUAUCGAAUGUUUGUCAACAAAAAAGUAACAAUGUUGAGACCAAAAGAAGAUGAGAACUCUUGGUUUAACUUAUUUGUGAUUCAUCAGAACAGGAGUAAACACGGAAGUACUAACUUCAUUCCAGAACAGUUUUUGGAUGACUUCAUUGAUCUUGUUAUCUGGGGCCAUGAACAUGAAUGUAAAAUAGCUCCAACCAAAAAUGAACAACAGCUCUUUUACGUAUCACAACCUGGAAGUUCAGUGGUCACUUCUCUUUCCCCAGGAGAAGCUACAAAGAAACACAUUGGUUUGCUGCGUAUUAAAGGAAGGAAGAUGAACAUGCAGAAGGUUCCUCUGCACACAGUGCGGCAGUUCUUCAUGGAGGAUGUUGUUCUGGCGGAUCACCCAGACAUUUUUAACCCAGAUAAUCCUAAAGUAACCCAGGUCAUACAGAGCUUCUGCUUGGAGAAGAUUGAAGAAAUGCUUGAAAAUGCGGAACGGGAACGUCUGGGAAAUUCUCAACAGCCAGAGAAGCCUCUUAUACGACUGCGAGUGGACUAUAGUGGAGGCUUUGAACCAUUCAGUGUUCUUCGCUUUAGCCAGAAAUUUGUGGACCGGGUAGCUAAUCCAAAAGAUGUUAUCCAUUUUUUCAGGCGUAGAGAACAAAAGAAAAACAUGGAAGAAGAGAUCAACUUUGGGAAUUUCAUCACAAAACCUUCAGAAGGAACAACUCUAAGGGUAGAAGACCUUGUGAAACAGUAUUUUCAAACCGCAGAGAAGAAUGUGCAGCUCUCACUUCUAACAGAAAGGGGAAUGGGUGAAGCAGUACAAGAAUUUGUGGACAAGGAAGAAAAAGAUGCCAUAGAGGAAUUAGUGAAAUAUCAGCUGGAAAAAACACAGCGAUUUCUUAAAGAACGUCAUAUUGAAGCCUUAGAAGAUAAAAUCGAUGAAGAGGUACGUCGUUUCAGAGAAAGCAGACAAAAGAAUACAAAUGAAGAAGAUGAUGAAGUUCGAGAGGCCAUGAGUAGGGCCAGAGCCCUUAGAUCUCAGUUUGAGGAUGCCGCUUCCGCCUUUAGUGCUGAAGACCUCAUAAGUAUAGAUAUGGCAGAACAGAUGGCUGAUGACUCUGAUGAUAGCAUCACAGCAGCAGCCAACAAAGGAAGAGGCCGAGGAAGAGGCCGGAGAGGAGGGAGGGGCCAGAGUUCAGUGUCAAGAGGAGGAUCUCAGAGAGGAAGAGCAGGCACUGCUCUGGAGACUUCUACUCGAGGCAGAGGUUCAAGGGCCACUAUGUCAACAUCUAGAAAUUUGUCUAUUAUAGAUGCCUUUAAAUCUGCAAGACAGCAGCCUUCCCAAAAUGUUGCUACUAAGAAUUAUUCAGAGGUGAUCGAGGUAGAUGAGUCUGAUCCAGAAGACGUUUUUCCUACCACUUCCAAAACUGAUCAAAGGUGGUUGAGCACUUCAUCAUCGAGCAAACGUAUGUCCCAGAGCCAGAUCGCUAAAGGGGUCGAUUUUGAAUCAGAUGAGGAUGACUAUGAUGAUCCUUUUGUGAACUUUAGUUCUGUAAGAAGAAACAGAAGAUAAUAUAUUUAAUGACAGUUUGAAGUUUUCAAGAUUCUGGAAAAAUUGAAACUUUGCAAACUAAGAGUUUACCAGUUGAAGAUUUUUUGAAUAUUGCUGUUAACUGAAGAAUUUGAAUUAUUCUUACUUAAUAGAGAAACUAAUGUCAGAAGGCCUUUUCCUGUGAAACAUUCUGAGACGUCUGCUCCCAUCUUCAUUAUUCCCAGUAUUUGAAUGAAGCAAAGAUGAAAUCAUGAGUAAGAGUGGCUCUCCACGGUGGGAUGGAAGCUGGUUUGGGUGGCAGUCUCUGGGAAGACGGCCAGUGGCUCUCCUCACCUGCCAAUGAGAUGUGCUGGGGUGAGGGUCAUAGUGAGGGAGAUGGUCACUAAUGCAUCGUGACAGGUUCCUGAGAAAAAAAGAGUAAGGCUCUCUCCCUUUCUGCAAACUGCUCUGUGGCAUGAAAGAGGUACUGAAUGGGAUGCAGUUACCUCCUAGGAAAGGUGUGAUUCCAUGGCGGUGAGAGAGGGUGAAAUUCUCAGCUAAUUCAGGUCGUUUUGUGAACAGUGUGUGUCACUUCCUGGAAAUACAGCAAAUAAGACACGAAAGAAAAACCUUUUUGAUGAAUAUUGCUGUAUAGUUAAUAUGCCACAUAUCCUUGAUAUUUUGUAUCAAUGCAGUAAAAUCUAGGGUUUUAGGGGCAGUUUUCAGACAUGUUGGAACAGGUGUGUGGAGGCUAUUCCAAAUGACUUCAAGAGCCCCUACAGUUGCUCAUAGGGGCGGAGAGAGAGCCUCAGUGAAAACAUUCUGAGGAAGAAAAAUCCUUCCACCAUUUACCGAAGAAUAUCUGUCUUGCUAGCGUUUUGUUUUGUAUCAAAAAUACAGUAGUGCAUUUACAAUUCCAGGAAAUAAAACUGGUACUUAGAAAAUUCAAGCAUUUAGCCAGAUGACUUUCAAUUUGGGUACAUAUUGGACAUUUUUUCCCUAAACUUUUAAAAUUAUGAAAUACAAUAACAGGGAAGUCACGUGGUUUAACAAACAAUGAUAAAGUGAGCCUCAUGGCAUUCCCCAUGCAGGUCAGGAAACAGAAUUUCACCAAUGCCUCAGAAGGCCACCAGUGAUCUCUGGGAAACUGGUCUUGACUUACGCAAUUCAGAAAUUCUUACUUUUGCCACAAGGUGGUGCUUCCAAAUCUAAAAUUAAGAGUCAAGGUAGUUUUGCAGUAAAUUUGGAACCUAUACAAUAAUGCUAAACCUAUGCAGUAAAGCCAAAAUUAGCUUUCUAAUUUUAUAUGUAAAUUGCUUGACAUAUUUCACCUGGCUCAGCCUGUUAUUAAGGAAAUUGCUAGUUUGAUAAAUUUUACAUAUAAAGGUUCAAGAAGAAAAUGUUUUAUGUUUUAAUAAAGAGGAAAAAGUCUUUAUUAGAGAAAUGGAAUUAAAAAGUCUCCCAUUGUAAAAUUUUUCUGUUGGAAUGUACUAUAUUUAAAAAUAAGCUCCCCCCACAGUAUUUUGUGGCUUUUUAAAGCUAGCUACCAUUAAGAUUAUUAUGAAAGUUUUGUAGAAUAAAGAUUUGGGGGUUGUUUUAGUCCAGAGUGCUUCCAUAUUCUUGAAUGAAAAAUGUUCACAUUUCAUCAUUUUCCUAUCUCAUUCCCUUUUAAUAUUUCUGAACUUAAUGUUUAAUAGCUAGGUCUGAAAAUACUAACAAUUUAGCUUAAUCUCUAAGAAGUCAGUUCACAUAGCUUGCUAUUGUCAUGCAUAUUUGUAUAUCUUUACCAUGACCGAUCACGAGAUCCGGUUUUAGCUGUUUAAAUUGUAAAAGCAAUACCUAUUCUUCAAAAUUCAGACAUUGAAAUCUUUAUCAAAAUGUGUAUUUCCCUAUAAUCCUCUCCCAGACACAACAUCUCAACAAUUAUGUAUGUAUUUCUCCAAUUACUUUUGGCAUGACCACUAACAAAACUUGUUGAAUUAGAACCCCAAAUUGUAUAGUCAAAUAUUUUGGUCUCUGUGUCAAGGUAUAUGUUCACCUUGGUACUUAUCUUGACAUCCUGAUUUUUCCAUAUCUUCUUUAUCAAACUUUUAAUUAAACCAUCUGUUUUGAGAUAAUUGCACUGCUUUCCAAUGUGUAAUUUAAAUGUUAUCACUCAAUAAUAAUUUGGGUCAAAUAAAAACACAUUUAAUCUGUGUGCCUUGACAUCGUAAGUGGUAGAGUGAGACUCAGAGGGCCCUUGGCCGGUGAUUGCACAUAAUAAUUGAUCAGCUGAAAGAAGCACAACAGAUACUAGGCUGGUUGGCCCAGGCCACACUCUGUUCUGCCUGUCAGAGCCGCUGGGCAGUGCUGCUGACUCAUGUGCAGCUACCCAACACUAGUGCGUGAGUACCCUUGAUCACAGUGCCUGUUUAAUUCCAAAGGUUUCAUGAUUGUUAUGUUUGAAAAUCAAUGUUUUCUCCACUCUAAGCUUACAAAACUAACUUCAGUCUAUCUAUGAUUGCAUUUGAACUGAUUGCAGGGUGUAUCUGGAUUUUGAGCAAAUGUUGCUAGAGGCAAAAAGCCAUUGCUUAAUGGAAUGAGAGGCACAAUUGCAGUCUGUUGGUCUUCUUUUUUCUCUUUUUUUUUUUUUUCCGUCUAUCAGUCUUGAUAGUCUGGAAACAGCAUUUGUGAGAUGACAUCUACCCAUCCAUCAUAGACAUACCUGAAAGUGCCCGAUGGUUGAUCAUCCCAGUCUUUUUUUUUUUCCUUUCCUUCAGAUCUUUAUUGGAGUAUAAUUGCUUUACAAUGCUGUGUUGGUUUCUGCUGUACAACAAAGUGAAUCAGCUGUAUGUAUACGUAUAUCCCCAUCUCCCCUCCCUCUUGAGCCUCCCUCCCACCCAACCUAUCCCACCCCUUUAGGUCAUCACCAAGCAUCAAGUUGAUCUUCCUGUGCUAACCAUCCCAGUCUUGAUUUCUGAGCUUUUUAGUAGUGCUUUAAAACCGGGUCAUGUUUUUUAAACUUUUAAUGUUGAAAUAAUAUCAAAUUUAUGGAAAAUGUACGAGAACUUUUACUCAGAAUCACCAAUUUUUAACAUU